rnacentral:rRNA from 1 species
GAUGAACGCUGGCGGCGUGCUUAACACAUGCAAGUCGAACGGAAAGGCCCAAGCUUGCUUGGGUACUCGAGUGGCGAACGGGUGAGUAACACGUGGGUGAUCUGCCCUGCACUUCGGGAUAAGCCUGGGAAACUGGGUCUAAUACCGGAUAGGACCACUUCUUGGAUGUUGUGGUGGAAAGUUUUUUCGGUGUGGGAUGAGCUCGCGGCCUAUCAGCUUGUUGGUGGGGUAAUGGCCUACCAAGGCGUCGACGGGUAGCCGGCCUGGGAGGGUGUACGGCCACAUUGGGGCUGAGAUACGGCCCAGACUCCUACGGGGGGCAGCAGUGGGGAAUAUUGCACAAUGGGCGCGAGCCUGAUGCAGCGACGCCGCGUGGGGGAUGACGGCCUUCGGGUUGUAAACUCCUUUCGCUAGGGACGAAGCGUUUUGUGACGGUACCUGGAGAAGAAGCACCGGCUAACUACGUG